GUCGGCAUUUAGUACAAGUGGUCGUGUGCUUGACCAAUUUAGAAGCUCAUUAAGUCCUUCUACUGUUGAGUCUCUAAUUUGCUCACAAAAUUGGUUGAAGACUCAAGAGAAGAUGUACGACUUAAAGCAAGAACUUGAGGACCAAGAAAAACUUGAAUUAGAGCUCUCAGCUUUAACAAUAUCUAAUCAAGCCAUUGGAGUUGAUGUUGUUUACAACAAUUUGAGGUCACAACUUCUCUCUUGAAUAUGCUUGGUUGAUGGAGUGAAGAAUUAUGGAGUGAAGACUUUGAAAAACAAAUAUUUCUAUUGCACUUUUGUAUUGAGCUUCUAAUGUUUAGAUUUUAUUGUGUUUCGGUUUUAGCUUUUU